UACGUAGGGGGCAAGCGUUGUCCGGAUUUAUUGGGCGUAAAGAGCGUGUAGGCGGCUUCACAGGUCUGCUGUGAAAACUCGAGGCUCAACCUCGAGCUGUCGGUGGAAACCGUGGGGCUAGAGUCCGGAAGAGGAGAGUGGAAUUCCCGGUGUAGCGGUGAAAUGCGCAGAUAUCGGGAAGAACACCCGUGGCGAAGGCGGCACUCUGGGACGGUACUGACGCUGAGACGCGAAAGCGUGGGGAGCGAACAGG
rnacentral:rRNA from 1 species